rnacentral:rRNA from 1 species
UACGAAGGGGGCUAGCGUUGCUCGGAAUCACUGGGCGUAAAGCGCACGUAGGCGGCUUCUUAAGUCAGGGGUGAAAUCCUGGAGCUCAACUCCAGAACUGCCCUUGAUACUGAGGAGCUUGAGUCCGGGAGAGGUGAGUGGAACUCCGAGUGUAGAGGUGAAAUUCGUAGAUAUUCGGAAGAACACCAGUGGCGAAGGCGGCUCACUGGCCCGGUACUGACGCUGAGGUGCGAAAGCGUGGGGAGCAAACAGG